GCCUAGUGGCUCAGUGGUUAAGCAUUUGGCUGUUAAAUAAAAGGUUGGUGGUUUGAGCCCACCCAGAGGUU
rnacentral:tRNA from 1 species